rnacentral:lncRNA from 1 species
AUAUCAUAUAUGAGUCGGCGUCGGCUGAGGUGUGGCCAAGAUAAGAGAGUGGAGGUCAGCGUAGAUUUUGAGGCAGCGGAGAAGGAAAAGGGAGAUGAAGCAAAAAGGAGAAGGGAGAGGAAGAUGAGCCGGAAGCGUAGAGCAACGAAAAAGAGAAAAGAGAGAGAGAGAGAGAGAGAGAGAGAGAGAGAGGAAUAAUGAUAUGUUUGUCAGUUUUCUAAAAAUUUGAAUCGAAUCUGUAAAAUGUAAAAUCAUAGUCUAUUUUUUAUAAAAGCACAAAUUAGUUGAU